rnacentral:rRNA from 1 species
GUAGGUGGCAAGCGUUGUCCGGAAUUAUUGGGCGUAAAGCGCGCGCAGGUGGUUCUUUAAGUCUGAUGUGAAAGCCCCCCGGGCUCAACCGGGGAGGGUCAUUGGAAACUGGGGAACUUGAGUGCAGGAGAGGAAAGUGGAAUUCCACGUGUAGCGGUGAAAUGCGUAGAUAUGUGGAGGAACACCAGUGGCGAAGGCGACUUUCUGGCCUGUAACUGACACUGAGGCGCGAAAGCGUGGGGAGCAAACAGGAUUAGAUACCCUGGUAGUCCACGCCGUAAACGAUGAGUGCUAAGUGUUGGGGGGUUUCCGCCCCUCAGUGCUGCAGCUAACGCAUUAAGCACUCCGCCUGGGGAGUACGGCCGCAAAGACUG